GCCUUUGCAACCGGCCGCGCGUGCGAGAGCGAGCGGAGCCGGGCGCCGGCCGCUGCAUGACUGAAACUGGCCAGAAAUAAAAUGACCUUAAAGAUGGUGAUGAUGAGAAGCAGCCUUGAAUCUUCUGCCGAGCAACUUCUGUCACCUGGGGAAGGUCCACAGGAAAAUAAUGGCAGGCGCACAGCAACACAGUAAAAAUUCUGGGCUCUCUCCAUUGAUGUUGCAAUGGAAAUGCCAUAAGUGGUCGCCCAGGGAAUAUCCUCUGUGCAGCUGCCCCUGUGCUGGCGCAGAGCCAGCACCAUCAGCUUUGUGCUGCCUCCACAGCAACCCUGGGCACAAGGGAUGUUCCAAGGCAGAAGUGAAUUAUGGACAGAUUAGAGGAAGGAAGAGGCAUGGAUGGGGCCUGCACCCCAGCAAUUCUGCACCUUGCGAUCUACCACCAUAGAAGAAGAGUUUGAAAAAGAACCAUGCUUUGUGCAUCAGUUGAUGGGAUCUGCCAGCAUGACUUGUAGACACACUGGAGAAAUCCCUUCUGUCACUUCAGUGCCUCUGCAUUGCUUCCAGCAGUGGCUUCUCUGGGCCCCUUGCCAGCUAGCAUAGAAGCUUCUCUGACCACAGUGUUUUCUCAAAUUGGAAAGAUGUUUCUGUGGCUGUCUUUGCCAGUCAUGUGCCAUCCCCUAUAGUGAACACAGAAUCCUAUUGUGCUCCGCACCCAAUUCAGUAGUAAACCACCCGGCUUGCUCCGUCCAGCAGAGUCAUAAAGCAAGCAACACAAUGACCUAGAUACGGUACUUCCACAAGCCCCCAUUGUCAGAGCCAUCUGAGCCCCUCACAAUGAUGUAUCCUCACUGCCUCCCAGGGAGGUGGGGAAGUGCUAUGGACUCUGAUGACUGCUUACCAGCUGGAAUAUGUUCUGGACCAGGUUCUGGACUAAAGAAUACGUGGAUGGUGCAAGAAUAUAGAUAUGGAUGAAAGACUCUUUAGGAUGUAACGCUGUUAGUGGUGAGUGGCAUCAUUCGAGCCUAGGUCAAGGAAAACACCUGUGUCUGGAUGGAAGCCAGCAGUCAUUUAAUAGGCCUAUUUUGGGAAAGCUUCUUCCCCUUCUGCCUUAAGUGACAUGGUUAAUGCUGCCUCCUCAGAAGGUUACUCAGUCAUCUUAAUACUUCUCUUAUGUUGUCUUUUUGUUUUGUUUUUCUCCUUCCAGAUUUUGAUUAGUUUUUCCUUCAACAUGGGAGAAGAUGUCUGAUUGUAGAGGACUCUUUAAUUUGGCAGAUAGGGGCAUAACAAGGUCCAAUGGCUGGAAGUUGAAGCUGGACAAAUUCAAACUGGAAAUGAUGCACAUAUUUUUAAGUAAGGGUAAUUAGCUAUUGGAACAACUUACCAAGGGAUGUGAUGGAGACCCCAUCACUUGAAGUCUUUAAAUCAAGAUUUAAGGGACAGAUUCUCAGCUGGUGUAAAUUGUCAUAGCUCUGACAUCAAUGGAGCUAAGACAGUUUGCACCAGCUAAGAAUCUGGACCUUGACAUCUUUUUAAAAUACGUGCUCUUGGCCAACUGCAAGUUAUUUGGGUCAGUGCCAGAAUUACUGGGUGAAACUCUCCGGCCUGUGUUAUACAGGAAGUCAGAUUAGAUGAUCACAAUGGUCCCUUCUGACCUUAGAAUCUGUGGAUUGUUGCUAGGAUAAACUCUAAAAGGUGAUGCUGUACCUCGAUAGAUUAGUAUUGCCAGACAUCUUCAGAGAGGAGCUAGCAGCAGUCAUUGCCUUCAUCUUAAAUUGUCUGCACCCACCUCAAUUGUUUCUCUUACUCCUGUAAUGCUGGUAACUGGUUUUUCAAGGCCUGUGUUUAUUCCUAUGGAAUGUGCAUUUUGCAGACUUGGUUCAUUCUUGGAGCAUCCUCUAGUAUGUAAAGCUAUACCAAUUCAUUUGUAAUAUGAAUACUAAAUAAAUCUGCAUUACUGCA